ACUGAAUGGAAUGAAACCAAACAUGGCAUGAAUGUUCCUUAUGAGGUGCUGACCAAGUGUUGUUACUUUGCAGUAGGUCCAUCAUCCAAGAUGGCCGACAGCAGGGGACUUAGUUUAACAAAGGACCUAUGGGAAAUACAUACAAAUGUCUUCUUUUAGAGAACCACUGAAUGGAAUGAAACCAAACAUGGCAUGAAUCUUCCUUAUGAGAUGCUGACCAAGUGUUGUUACUUUGUAGCCGAUCCAUCAUCCAAGAUGGCCGCCAGCGGGGGACUUAGUUUUACAUAGGACCCUAUGGGAAAUACAUAAAAAUGUCUUCUUUUAGAGAACCAAUAAAUGGAAUGGAACCAAACAUGGCAUGAAUGUUCCUUAUGAGAUGUUGACCAAGUGUUGUUACUUUGCAGCCGAUCCAUCAUCCAAGAUGGCCGCCAGCAGGGGACUUAGUUUAACAUAGGACCCUAUUGGAAAUACAUACAAAUGUCUUCUUUUAGAGUACCACUGAAUGGAAUGAAACCAAACAUGGCAUGAAUGUUCCUUAUGAAGUGCUGACCAAGUGUUGCUACUUUGUUGCCGAUUUACUGUUCAAGAUGGCCACCAGGAUAUUUUAUUAAAUAACGGGACCAAUAUUAAUCAAAAUUUGGCCUCAAUCAUUAUUUGGGUAUCUGUUAUGAUUUUUAUCUAUCUUUACAUGAUUUCUAAAA